rnacentral:rRNA from 1 species
AUUGAACGCUGGCGGCAUGCCUUACACAUGCAAGUCGAACGGCAGCACGGGAGCAAUCCUGGUGGCGAGUGGCGAACGGGUGAGUAAUAUAUCGGAACGUGCCCAGUCGUGGGGAUAACGUAGCGAAAGCUACGCUAAUACCGCAUACGAUCUACGGAUGAAAGCGGGGGAUCGCAAGACCUCGCGCGAUUGGAGCGGCCGAUAUCAGAUUAGGUAGUUGGUGAGGUAAAGGCUCACCAAGCCGACGAUCUGUAGCUGGUCUGAGAGGACGACCAGCCACACUGGGACUGAGACACGGCCCAGACUCCUACGGGAGGCAGCAGUGGGGAAUUUUGGACAAUGGGCGCAAGCCUGAUCCAGCAAUGCCGCGUGCAGGAUGAAGGCCUCCGGGUUGUAAACUGCUUUGUACGGAACGAAACGGUGAGCUCUAAUACAGUUUGCUAAUGACGGUACCGUAAGAAUAAGC